GGAAAAACAAUAAUAUAUGCUACUGUAUAUGAACAUGUUUCUUUAAAUGGGUUGUUCUAGAGUAAAAAGUGUGCUUUGUGUUUAAAAUAUUUGUUAUUCGAAAAGAAACGUUUCAAAUUGUUGCAGAAACACACUGAUUUGAAAUGAGUGCUAUGAGGCAGUUUGUCUUUAGACCAACAACAACAACAACAACAACAACAACAACAACAACUGAAUGCCCCGAGCAGAGAGCAGCGCGUGCAAUUGAAACUGGAACAAUCAUAUUAAUCGUUCUUACAAGCUUAUGCGCUUUCUUUGGCCUGUGCUGCUUGCCAUUCCUGGUUGGGAUUUGCUGUGGCCUGGGCUUGUGUGGCACAGAACGUGCCUACAAUUAUGGCUAAUGCUUUUGAGCUGAAUCACUGAACACGAAUGUUAUAUUCAAUAUAUAAUGUUUGACAUACCUUUUUUCGGAUCUGUUGCGACUGCGUGUAUUAAAUCAGAAAAUCGAAAUCAGUAGUAGAUAUAGUUGGCCGUAUUUAUAGUUAUAUUUGAUUCCUUCUUGCAUCGUACAACUAAUUUUUAAUCAAAAAUUAAACGUAUUUCUCAUAGUGAAAA